GUGUCAGCCGCCGCGGUAAUACAGAGGGUGCGAGCGUUAUCCGGAAUCACUGGGCGUAAAGGGCGUGUAGGUGGUUUGUUAAGUUCGAUGUUAAAUACUGAAGCUCAACUUCAGCACGGCGUUGAAUACUGGCAGGCUAGACAAUUGGAGAGGCAAGUAGAAUUACCAGUGUAGCGGUGAAAUGCGUAGAUACUGGUAGGAAUACCCAUUGCGAAGGCAGCUUGCUAGACAAUUUGUGACACUCAGACGCGAAAGUGUGGGGAGCAAACCGGAUUAGAUACCCGGGUAGUCCACACCCUAAACGAUGCAUACUUGGUGUCGGCCCGUUGGGGUCGGCGCCGGAGCUAACGUGUUAAGUAUGCCGCCUGGGAAGUACGGCCGCAAGGUUGAAACUUAAAUGAAUUGACGGGG
rnacentral:rRNA from 1 species